GGUUAAGUUAGAAAGGGCGCACGGUGGAUGCCUUGACACUAGGAGUCGAUGAAGGACGGGACUAACGCCGAUAUGCUUCGGGGAGCUGUAAGUAAGCUUUGAUCCGAAGAUUUCCGAAUGGGGAAACCCACCAUACGUAAUGGUAUGGUAUCCUUACCUGAAUACAUAGGGUAAGGAAGACAGACCCAGGGAACUGAAACAUCUAAGUACCUGGAGGAAGAGAAAGCAAAUGCGAUUUCCUGAGUAGCGGCGAGCGAAACGGAACAUAGCCCAAACCAAGAGGCUUGCCUCUUGGGGUUGUAGGACAUUCUAUACGGAGUUAC
rnacentral:rRNA from 1 species